AUUUAUAAAAUAUUUUAAAAUAAAUAGCUUGUUAUUGUCAACCAAUUUCACAUUGGAUUCUCUUGCUUGCUUCUGCUCUUCAUUCAUAAACUGAUUUUAUAUUUUCCAAUUAUCGUUAAAGCUGAAUUAUUAUUGGUGCAUGGUGGGUCAACGAGAGCUUGUUAUUGUCAGCCAAUUUCACAUUGGAUUCUCUUGCUUGCUUUUGCUCUUCAUUCAUAAACUGAUUUUAUCUUUUCCAAUUAUCGUUAAACACUAUUACUUAACUUUAUAA
rnacentral:lncRNA from 1 species